GCCGGGGUGGCUCAGUCGGUAGAGCAUCAGACUUUUAAUCUGAGGGGUCAGGGUUUAAGUCCCUGAUCCAAUG